UUAAGCGACUAAGCGUACACGGUGGAUGCCCUGGCAGUCAGAGGCGAUGAAGGACGUGCUAAUCUGCGAAAAGCGUCGGUAAGGUGAUAUGAACCGUUAUAACCGGCGAUGUCCGAAUGGGGAAACCCAGUGUGAUUCGUCACACUAUCGUUAACUGAAUACAUAGGUUAACGAGGCGAACCGGGGGAACUGAAACAUCUAAGUACCCCGAGGAAAAGAAAUCAACCGAGAUUCCCCCAGUAGCGGCGAGCGAACGGGGAGCAGCCCAGAGUCUGAAUCAGCUUGUGUGUUAGUGGAACGGUCUGGAAAGUCCGACGGUACAGGGUGAUAGUCCCGUACACCAAAAUGCACAGGCUGUGAACUCGAAGAGUAGGGCGGGACACGUGGUAUCCUGUCUGAAUAUGGGGGGACCAUCCUCCAAGGCUAAAUACUCCUGACUGACCGAUAGUGAACCAGUACCGUGAGGGAAAGGCGAAAAGAACCCCGGCGAGGGGAGUGAAAAAGAACCUGAAACCGUGUACGUACAAGCAGUGGGAGCACCUUCGGGUGUGACUGCGUACCUUUUGUAUAAUGGGUCAGCGACUUAUAUUCUGUAGCAAGGUUAACCGUAUAGGGGAGCCGCAGGGAAACCGAGUCUUAACUGGGCGUUAAGUUGCAGGGUAUAGACCCGAAACCCGGUGAUCUAGCCAUGGGCAGGUUGAAGGUUGGGUAACACUAACUGGAGGACCGAACCGACUAAUGUUGAAAAAUUAGCGGAUGACUUGUGGCUGGGGGUGAAAGGCCAAUCAAACCGGGAGAUAGCUGGUUCUCCCCGAAAGCUAUUUAGGUAGCGCCUCGUGAAUUCAUCUUCGGGGGUAGAGCACUGUUUCGGCUAGGGGGUCAUCCCGACUUACCAACCCGAUGCAAACUACGAAUACCGAAGAAUGUUAUCACGGGAGACACACGGCGGGUGCUAACGUCCGUCGUGAAGAGGGAAACAACCCAGACCGCCAGCUAAGGUCCCAAAGUCAUGGUUAAGUGGGAAACGAUGUGGGAAGGCACAGACAGCCAGGAUGUUGGCUUAGAAGCAGCCAUCAUUUAAAGAAAGCGUAAUAGCUCACUGGUCGAGUCGGCCUGCGCGGAAGAUGUAACGGGGCUAAACCAUGCACCGAAGCUGCGGCAGCGACACUAUGUGUUGUUGGGUAGGGGAGCGUUCUGUAAGCCUGCGAAGGUGACCUGUGAGGGUUGCUGGAGGUAUCAGAAGUGCGAAUGCUGACAUAAGUAACGAUAAAGCGGGUGAAAAGCCCGCUCGCCGGAAGACCAAGGGUUCCUGUCCAACGUUAAUCGGGGCAGGGUGAGUCGACCCCUAAGGCGAGGCCGAAAGGCGUAGUCGAUGGGAAACAGGUUAAUAUUCCUGUACUUGGUGUUACUGCGAAGGGGGGACGGAGAAGGCUAUGUUAGCCGGGCGACGGUUGUCCCGGUUUAAGCAUGUAGGCUGGUUGUCCAGGCAAAUCCGGAUAAUCAAGGCUGAGGUGUGAUGACGAGGCACUACGGUGCUGAAGUAACAAAUGCCCUGCUUCCAGGAAAAGCCUCUAAGCAUCAGGUAACAUUAAAUCGUACCCCAAACCGACACAGGUGGUCAGGUAGAGAAUACCAAGGCGCUUGAGAGAACUCGGGUGAAGGAACUAGGCAAAAUGGUGCCGUAACUUCGGGAGAAGGCACGCUGGUGUGUAGGUGAAGUCCCUGCGGAUGGAGCUGAGACCAGUCGAAGAUACCAGCUGGCUGCAACUGUUUAUUAAAAACACAGCACUGUGCAAACACGAAAGUGGACGUAUACGGUGUGACGCCUGCCCGGUGCCGGAAGGUUAAUUGAUGGGGUUAUCCGUAAGGAGAAGCUCUUGAUCGAAGCCCCGGUAAACGGCGGCCGUAACUAUAACGGUCCUAAGGUAGCGAAAUUCCUUGUCGGGUAAGUUCCGACCUGCACGAAUGGCGUAAUGAUGGCCAGGCUGUCUCCACCCGAGACUCAGUGAAAUUGAACUCGCUGUGAAGAUGCAGUGUACCCGCGGCAAGACGGAAAGACCCCGUGAACCUUUACUAUAGCUUGACACUGAACAUUGAGCCUUGAUGUGUAGGAUAGGUGGGAGGCUUUGAAGCGUGGACGCCAGUCUGCGUGGAGCCAACCUUGAAAUACCACCCUUUAAUGUUUGAUGUUCUAACGUUGGCCCCUGACCGGGGUUGCGGACAGUGUCUGGUGGGUAGUUUGACUGGGGCGGUCUCCUCCCAAAGCGUAACGGAGGAGCACGAAGGUUAGCUAAUCCUGGUCGGACAUCAGGAGGUUAGUGCAAUGGCAUAAGCUAGCUUGACUGCGAGCGUGACGGCGCGAGCAGGUGCGAAAGCAGGUCAUAGUGAUCCGGUGGUUCUGAAUGGAAGGGCCAUCGCUCAACGGAUAAAAGGUACUCCGGGGAUAACAGGCUGAUACCGCCCAAGAGUUCAUAUCGACGGCGGUGUUUGGCACCUCGAUGUCGGCUCAUCACAUCCUGGGGCUGAAGUAGGUCCCAAGGGUAUGGCUGUUCGCCAUUUAAAGUGGUACGCGAGCUGGGUUUAGAACGUCGUGAGACAGUUCGGUCCCUAUCUGCCGUGGGCGCUGGAGAAUUGAGGGGGGCUGCUCCUAGUACGAGAGGACCGGAGUGGACGCAUCACUGGUGUUCGGGUUGUCAUGCCAAUGGCACUGCCCGGUAGCUAAAUGCGGAAGAGAUAAGUGCUGAAAGCAUCUAAGCACGAAACUUGCCCCGAGAUGAGUUCUCCCUGAGACUUUAAGUCUCCUGAAGGAACGUUGAAGACGACGACGUUGAUAGGCCGGGUGUGUAAGCGCAGCGAUGCGUUGAGCUAACCGGUACUAAUGAACCGUGAGGCUUAACCUU
rnacentral:rRNA from 2 species